AUCGUCGGCGGCAGCCUUCCCUGGACGCGGGCGCCUCGGGGACGGCCCAGUCGCGCGGUCUCCCAGGAGGGUGCGGCAACGGCGUCGGGGGCGCAGGGCAGCAGACCGCGCAGCAGUUGAUCUAAAAAAUUCCCAACCCUGGUCGCAAUCCUCGCAUCUCCUUUUCCGCGUCGCCUCCACGGAGAACUCCUCGUUUCAAGCGUGACGCCUUCAUAUUCACUGGAUGUUUCCCCGCGUCUUCGUCAACAGGCGCCGCCUAGGUUUGUCUCCUAGACACAAUUGAUCUCGAAGCAGCAACACAACGUGGUUGCCGGAUUAUGUGGCCGUAGUCAUGGGAGGAGCCGUGCUGCCGGUUACCUGUGCUCUUUGGCCGGAAAGACGUCUUUGGAGGCAUGGAGAGAUACCAUGGAGACGCAGUGGCGACUCCAGGGAACUAGACACGAACGCGGCAAGGAUUGAAUUGUGCCACAACUGCAGCGGUACGGUGAGGGGAUUUGACUCGUCGAAUCAUGGGCCACGGUGGCAAGCCCAACGCCCCUGCUCCGCCAAGCGCACCGACUUUGGCCCGACACAACCCAGCCAUGCCGCCCCGACCAUGGUUGCCAGAAUCACUGUGGGGUUCAUGCUCGGCGCAUGUGAUUCUGUAGUUCCGUUCAUGCUCCGCGCAUGUGGUUCUGUAGUUGCCUCACUGCCCAGUGUUAAGUGUUUGUGAAGGAGAUGACCACUAAAACAACACAGAAGUGCCUUGGUUAAUCCGAUUUAUCAUGGUGCGAUAUUCUUUUGUUGCUGCUGAUUAUACUAAUCAACUGUAAGUCUGCAUGUUUUCAGGGCGGACACUGCUGAAGAUCAAGAAAUCCUUCCGCAGUGUUGGCAACAUGUUGUAUGACAGACCCGACGACAAGGCAUGUGCGAGCUACUACUCCGGGCGUGACGUGCUCUCAACAACAUCACCUUCACCAUUUGUGAGAAGCUCUCUCUAGCAAAAUCUUAUGUUCUGUCGCCGGCUGCAGACCUGCAGUAUGCAAUUACUAACACGUGUUCAUGUGUGCAAUGACUGCAACCUCUGAGGGUUAAAUCUUGGUGGCAAAAUUUCCCCAGCCAUCAGGGAGGAUUCGAAGAGCAUUAUGUCAACGCAAAUGAGAUUGAUGAUUGUUCGUCGCUUAUCAUUGCAUCGCUUGGGUUUCUCUGGAGAAGGUUCCAAUAGUGUUUUGAAAAGGUCAGAUUCUGGUUCGUGUGGGUUGCUACACUACGUUUUCUUUUUGCUAAUUCUUGAGCUAAUUAUUGGCUGAGGAUUUACAUGUGAUAUUAGGUAUUUAGGGCAAUGACAGUGCUAUGAGAUUAAUUAGCAUGUAAAUCUUUCACAAACAAGUUUAAUCACCUGUAAGCCUCCCAUGGUAUCUCCACAAGCUUUAUUGGCAAGGCAGUCCGAAUUUUUCAGCAUGCAAAGUUUCGAGAAGGACAAGUAUCUUGGUUAGAAAUAUUUGCCAGAAAUUGGAAGAACUACAUAUCCAUUAGUUCUGCUCUGCUCAGCUAGCUUUAGAAUGGAUUAUGUGUUAACUAAUUUCUAAUCUCAUUGUUGUGUCCUUGUAAACAAAAUGUGUUAGCAUGUCAGAGUUCAGUGUCAUUCAGUUUUUGUUAUGCAAAAACUGCAUAUAUCCAGUUAGUUCUGUUUGCUUUUACAGAGAGGUAUUUCUCUCCCUAAACUUUGUGUUAUCCAUUUGAAUUCCGCUAGACAUAUCCCGCUUGCACAUAGUAGGUUUAUACUACAAGAGGCGCUAAACAUAGGACUUGUAGUAUAACCGGAUCUAUACACGCGAUUAAGUAUAUAUAUGCUCAAGCAGCUACAGAAUCUCAAUUUUGUUUAUUGCAUAGACAUUGUGUGCAUGCAUACAAUUUUUUUAAACAAUGGCUAUGUUGCAUGCUGGCGUCCCUAUGUUUCUAUCCACAAGGCUAUAUAUGUGACUUACCAUCAGAAAUAAAAUGAGUAAUAGUGGCUGAGGAGAAGCUACAUUCUGUAGCUAGCUGGGGAACUAGCAUAAUAGAGAACAAUACAUCAUGUGUAUAAAUUCUGAACCAUGUAAAGAUGAGGAGAAUAAGUAAUCACAUGCCUUUUGUUACUCCGUUGUUCAUAUUUAGAACUAGAGAGAGGGAAAGACAGAGUUGCUAGCUCACACUACUUGAGACUGAAGGUUAUUAGGACUUAAAUUUUCUGUAUAGUACCACAUAUGAUGGCAUGUAGUUUUAGUAUAUACACAUACUUGAGAUGUUUCUGGGUAAAGGUGGAGCUAUGAAUCUAAGCUUAGCCUUUAUUGCUACUUUAUUCCUUAUUCUUUUUAGGGAACAAUAAUAUAGCAUGAUGAUGAAUUCAUAAGCUUCCAAGGGAGCGGAGUAUCCCUGGUCUUAAAACUUUUUGAGCUCCAUAAACAGGAAUGACAAAGUGAUAGCGCUAAUAAGGCGAAUUCAAAACCAGAUUCAUAGGGUGAUUGUGAUUUUUCUUCCUGAGUUAUGUUUUGUUAACUUUAAAAUUUUCCCUAUCCCUUCACCCCUGCCGAGGCAUUAGUUUAUGUGAAGCCUGAAACAAAUUCGAUUCCACAAUUGUCGACAGUAAUGAGUGUGAGUUGCAGCGAUGUUGGGAUUGUCACAUGUCCUCCUUGAUUUAAUGUCUACCCUUCACAUGUUACCAUUUCUUGUAGGAAACAACAAGAGCUCGGCAACUAUUCAUUGGACUUGGAAUAAAUGCGGAAAUAAAAAAGAAGCUAUUGCAAGCGCACUGAUGAGGACCAGGCAGAGAAGUAGCCAAGCAUGAGAAAGUUCGUCAUCAUACUUUGUCUUGUAUUUCAAGUGUUACUUGGGUGUGGGGAAAUGGACAUUGUGAUUGCUGGGAAGGGAGUUGAGUGGGAGUAAGACAUAGGACUUUGUGAACAAAUUUAAAUUCUGAAGGGAAAGACCUUCGCGCUCAAUACAUGGUCAGAAAACUUCA